rnacentral:rRNA from 1 species
UACGAAGGGGGCUAGCGUUGCUCGGAAUGACUGGGCGUAAAGGGCGCGUAGGCGGCUUGCACCGUCAGAUGUGAAAUUCCUGGGCUUAACCUGGGGGCUGCAUUUGAUACGUGUGGGCUUGAGUGCGGAAGAGGGUCGUGGAAUUCCCAGUGUAGAGGUGAAAUUCGUAGAUAUUGGGAAGAACACCGGUGGCGAAGGCGGCCUGCUGGGAUCUUGCUGACGCUGAGGCGCGACAGCGUGGGGAGCAAACAGG